CGGUGCAACCCUCCAUCUGAGCUCGGAUCUCCCGCAGCUCCGCCGCCAGACCGGGUUUGGGCGAGUGUGUGAGUGGCGGCGCCUGGAUGUGGCCGCGCAAGUCGGACACCUGGUCGUGGUAAAGGGGGGCAGAGGUGAAGGGCGGGCGCUAGGACCCUGCUGUGCUCCAGGCAGACAGACACACAAUGCUGGAGUAACUCAGCGGGUCUGGCAGCGUCUGUGGAGAGAAGGAAUGGGUAAUGUUUCAGGUCGAGACCCUUCUUCAGACUCAGACAAAGCUGUCACCGAGCUAAGCUGGAUAAUUGCAACAUGAAUCGGGACUUUUCAUCUUUCCAUUGCCUCCAUUUCAUUGAAACUGCAGCACACAGCCAUUUCCCAGAACGCGGACUGGAAGACAGCAAUGAUGAAUAUUUCAGAGCAGGUACAGGAGCCUUAGGAGGUGCGGAUUGUUCUGCAGCAUUGCGCAGGGUCACACUCCCUGCCAGCCGAUGACUAAUUAGGCAGCUUGUGUUCCCUUGCCUGGGCCCUGUCGCCUGUAAUAUACUGUUCUCCCUACAACAGUAGGGUUGUGCUGCAAUGCAGAGCUGGGUGGUACGCUGCUCACCACCAGCCCAUCACAGACCAAGCUCACAGAGUUACAAACUCAAACCCCAACCCCCGCGGAGGGGGUAGGGAACUGUGAUGAGUGGGAUCUCUGGACCCUAUUGUGCUCGACCCAUUCACCAGCGUGAACUCACAUCCAUCAGAGCAGCUUUAAUAAACCAGGAAAGAUGACAGAAAUCCAGUGAAUCUGCUCAGGACGGGAGCUUUUUUAUGUGUUAAUCCGUUCACUGGAUGAACUGAACCCCAUGAGGUGCUAGUGUGGAGUUGCCUUCUGCAGUAGGUGUCCACAGCCAACGCCAGUGAAUGGAGCCACAAGGAACUGCAGAUGCUGGUUCACAAAACAAGACACAAAGUUCUGGAAUAGCUCAGCGGGUCAGGACUAUCUUUGGAAAACGUGGAUAGGUGACGUCUGGGUCGGCUUCCUUCAGGAAAUCUUCUUCAGGUGCUGCCUGACCCCCUGAGUUACUCCAGCAUUUUGUGUCAGCUGUUAGAUCAGACUGUGGAGAGAGCUCCAUCAUUUACAGUAUUGUCGUCAGUUUUGGUCACCACGUUACAGGUAAGAUAUUGUUAAGUUGCAAAGGGAGCAGAGAUUUUUGAGGAUGUUGCCAGGGCUUGUGGGGUUGAGCUAUAGGGAGAGGUUGAGCAGGCUAGGACAUUAUUCCCUGGAGUGCAGGAGGAUGAGGGGUGAUCUUA